AGCACGGUGGUCUAGCGGUCAGAACACUAGCCUUGUAAGCCUGGGGUCCCGGGUUCAAUUCCCGGUGGUGCUC
rnacentral:tRNA from 1 species